rnacentral:lncRNA from 1 species
CCCUGUUACUGACCAGGGAAAUGAAAUUACCCCUAGGCCAAACGGGUCCAUCUCUAGGAUUUGAAUACAAACAGGUCCGUAUCUCUGGCUGCAUGAGAGAGCUUAAGAAAUAAACAUCACUGGGUGGAAUAACUGGGAAAUGAGUGAUGGGUAGGCCAUGAACAGUGUCUGCUAUGCAAGAAAACACUAUAAAAGGAUCUGAGAAAUAUAAAUGAAAAGGGAAAAAGGAAAUAAGUGGGAGGGACGUAGUCCAAACAAGACUAUUCAUGAAUUGAUAAUUGUUGGAGUUCAUGAGGGUUCAUGAUACUUUUUUCUCUGCUUUUGCAUAUGUCUGAAAUGACCCGUAAUUUAAAAAAAUAAAACUUUAAAUAAAAAGAAAUAAUCCCAGCAAAGCAACAGAAUAAAAGGUAGCAGGAAAAAUUUGGUCUGUUUUCAUGUUUCAAGUGAUAGCUAACAUUUAUUGCACAUGUGCUCUUUGUCAAAAACUCUGUUAAUCAGUUCAGAAUGGCUUACACCAACAGGAGAAUUUAUUUGCUGGUGUGACUAAAACUUCUCAGGGUAGCUUUAGGCCCAGGUGAAUGUAUCCCUUGGUUCUGCUUUUUUCCACAUUGGUCGGUGCCUAAUAGUUCCUGACUGACUCCUAUUUCUUCAGUGUCCAAAAGGAAACAGCACCCUCCUUUUUAGUAUUUGUAGCAGAAGGUCCCCUGCUAGGAUCCCAUUUGCCUAGCAUGGAUUCUGUACCCACACCUAAACCAGUCAUGAUCAGGAGAAUGUGGUGCUUGGACAGACUAGUCAUAUUCUUCUUCUGGAGAUGGGAGGUAUAUACUGGGGUUGAGAAGAGCUGAGACACUACAGUUGUGAUUGUGUCACUUAUUUCUCACAAAAAAACCCUAGGCACAUUCUUUUAUUAACCCAUGUUAUAGAAUUAAAAAUGGAGGCUUGACAAGGUCAGGUGACUUGCUCAGUCAUGUAGCUGGUAAUGAGAGAGCUAGGAUUGAAACAUGGGAAGCUUGAUUUGGGGGACCACAGGUUUCACUGCCUACAAUGAGUGAAACAACUUUUUUGAACCUAGGUCUCUACUGGCUGUGAAUCUCCAUAGCCAAUUCACAGUCAGGUGCCACUCUAGAAGACUGUGUAGUGUGGUAGUUGUGAGCGUGGAUUUUAAGAGGCAGAUGGAUUUGUGUCCAAAUAAUGCCAGUUAUUUACCACUCAGAUGCUACUUCUCUUAAGUCACAAGUGCUUCUUGGUGAAGUAUUUCUUAGCUUUAUUAGCUUCUUUCCAGAGAUGGGAAAGUUGAGCUCAGAGAACCAAAGUGACAUGUCAAAUUGCAGACCCAGAGAGUACCUUCACUUCUCAUUGGCUCCAAAGCCCAUGCUCUUUCCAUCUCACCAGUGCCUUAGAAACCAUAGCAGGACCUCUGGGGGAGAGAGAUGGGGACCAAUAAGCAUGUUCUGGCUUUCUAACUUUUGCUUUGCGCAGAAGACUGGGAUUCUCAUUAAGGUUUUAUUUUUUAGAAGACUUCUAGCCAGGCACAGUGACUCACACCUGUAAUCCCAGCACUUUGGGAAGAGAAGGUGGGCAGAUGGCUGGAGCCCAGGAGUUCAAGAUCAGCCUGGGCAACAUUGUGAGACCCUGACUCUACAAAAAAUAAAAAUAAAAA